UCUGUUUGUUUUUCCAGCGAGCUGCUCUCCACGAGCAGUGUGCUGGCGUUUCGGGGUGGCCUCCUGACUGCCCCAGGGCUUUCUUCUACCAGCCAGAGCCACCUCUCUUUGCAGCCAGCCUCUCCUACUGCAGUGCCUCUCUUGGCCACAAUAUUUGUGAAAUAUUGUGACUAUUUCGGCGGCUGCCUGCCUUUUUGUAGAUACAGGGUCUUCUCUCCAAGCCCAGCACACCUCAACAUGCCGCUGAAGGUGGAAUGGGAGGCAGCUUCACCCUAGUCUGGGAAUUUUGGAAUACAGAAAGAUGAUAGGAAAGGAGGGCUGCAGACGGCGUGGAGUGGCCAAACACCUGCCCCGUCGCUUGCCCGCGCAGACGCUGCUGCAGCUCGGGGAGGGAUGCUGCCAGCAGCACCUAUGGAUAAGGAGGCAGAAGACUGGAUGGGAAGGCAGGUGAGUGUGUAGGAAGGUGGAUGAGCAUAUAGGAAGGUGGGUUGGCAUAGAGGAAGGCAGGUGAGCAUAUAGGAAGGUGGAUGAGUGUAUGGGAAGGCAGGUGAGUGUAUAGGAGGUCAGGUGAAUGUCUAGGCAGGCAGAUGAGCAUAUAGAAAGGCAGUUGAGCCUAUGGAAGGGCAGGUGAGUGUAUAGGAAUGCUGAUAAGCGUACAGGAAGGCAGAUGAGUGUAUAGGAGGGCAGGUGAGUGUAUAGGAAGGCGGAUGAGCAUAUAGAAAGGCAGGUGAACACACGGGAAGGCAGAUGAGUGUGUAGGGAGGCAGAUGAGUGUGUAGGAAGCCAGAUGAGCAUAUAGGAAGCCAGAUGAGCAUAUAGAAAGGCAGGUGAGCGUGUAGGAAGGUGGAUGAGUGUGUAGGAAGGUGGAUGAGUGUAUAGGAGGGCAGGUGGGCAUAUAGGAAGGCAGGUGAGCAUAUAGACUCCCCCCAGGCACGCCGGGGGGUCAGUUAGUUGUAGCCCCCCAAGGGGCAGCACCUCUGUCCAUCGACGAGAGCCGGUGCUUACAGAGGGGGUGGGUCUGCCAGGGGGGCAAGAACCAGGUGAGCAGAAACCUCCACUCCCAGUGGCUCCGAGCCACCCAAGCCUCGCCUCGCUGAACACGGCCGCGCUGGCACAGCCGUGCCGGACCCUGUGUGCCGAGGCUGUGCCGAGAUGACUCACCCCGCUGCUUGCAGCAGCCACACUUCCAACUAGC